rnacentral:rRNA from 1 species
GACGUAGGGGGCAAGCGUUGUCCGGAAUUAUUGGGCGUAAAGCGCGCGCAGGUGGUUCCUUAAGUCUGAUGUGAAAGCCCACGGCUCAACCGUGGAGGGUCAUUGGAAACUGGGGAACUUGAGUGCAGAAGAGGAAAGUGGAAUUCCAAGUGUAGCGGUGAAAUGCGUAGAUAUCGGGAAGAACACCAAUGGCGAAAGCACUCUGCUGGGCCGCGACUGACACUGAGAGACGAAAGCUAGGGGAGCAAACGGG